AAAAAUGGGACUUAUUUAGUUAUAAAAGAUAUCAAUUGCGAGAUUUGUGUCACGUGGGCGACGCAAGACGAGCGGGUAGGCGCGCGAGAGGGGUCCCCGGCUCACGAGCCACAAAGCGCGGCAACUCCGUCCAGCUCCGUUGUAAGCAAACAGGUUUCGUCCUGUAUCGUAGGUACUUACCACGCAUAAUAGCGUGCAGUCUCCUAUGCCAUAAAAGGAACAAAAUAAACAACCGAAAAUAUUAGCGUAAAAAUGCCAUUCGCACUUGCCCCAUCCCGCACGCAGAACAUUGAUGACGAUGACCGCCGCACACCAAUGCCAUAAGUCGAAAACAGAACGACUACGGAGUGGCGGCGGCAGCAAAACAUUCCAUAUUUUCGCUGCGGCGAAUUUGAAACUGCCACGGAAUGCGGCGGUGCGACAGCGCGGCAGGACUAGCGACCAAGCUGACGCUCUGGUGAAAGCUGUCUUUACAUCCCGGGACCAUAUCAACUCGUCAGCCAAAUAAGACGGGAUUCUGUAUUUUAUAACCCCAAACAGAACUGUAGCUAAGUGUAGAUCUCUUCGCAUUUUCAUUUUCAAAAUAUUUGCGUUGUUUAUGUAAGGGGUUACGUGCGUGCGUGGUGGUAUAUCAAAGCAAAACCUUGCGCAGGCGUUCUGCACUCGCUGAAUUACUUGUUCCGUGCGCUUCAACAGUCGCGGCCCAUACACCACGUCCAUAUAAUUAAAUUUUGACAGAACUAGUGAGUCACACAACUUAAUGCGAAUGUCGGUAUUAAGGUAAUUUCUGAUGUUAUAUAAUACCUUUAACCUAUAGAAACAAUUUUUGACGAUGCCUAACACAUGAUUCUCAAAGUGAAGUGUUUCAUCCAUAAGGAGUCCAAGAUUCCGAGCCUCAGUUACU